rnacentral:tRNA from 1 species
GGGUGUAUAGCUCAAGUGGUAGAGUGCAUGCUUAGCACGCAUUAGGCCGUAGGUUCAAUCCCCAGUGCCUCCA